UACAGAGGUCUCAAGCGUUGUUCGGAUUCAUUGGGCGUAAAGGGUGCGUAGGUGGCGGGGUAAGUCAGGUGUGAAAUUUCGGAGCUCAACUCCGAAACUGCAUUUGAUACUGCCUUGCUUGAGGACUGGAGAGGAGACUGGAAUUCACGGUGUAGCAGUGAAAAUGCGUAGAUAUCGUGAGGAAGACCAGUGGCGAAGGCGGGUCUCUGGAC
rnacentral:rRNA from 1 species